rnacentral:rRNA from 1 species
UUAAGUCCCGCAACGAGCGCAACCCUUAUCCUUAGUUGCCAGCACGUAAUGGUGGGAACUCUAGGGAGACUGCCGGUGACAAACCGGAGGAAGGUGGGGACGACGUCAAGUCAUCAUGGCCCUUAUGGGCUGGGCUACACACGUGCUACAAUGGGCGGUACAGAGGGCCGCGAAGCCGCGAGGUGGAGCAAAUCUCAGAAAACCGUUCUUAGUCCGGAUCGCAGUCUGCAACUCGACUGCGUGAAGUUGGAAUCGCUAGUAAUCGCGGAUCAGAACGUCGCGGUGAAUACGUUCCCGGGCCUUGUACACACCGCCCGUCACACCAUGGGAGUGGGUUGCACCAGAAGUAGCUAGACUAACCUUCGGGAAGUCGGUUACCACGGUGUGAUUCAUGACUGGGGUGAAGUCGUAACAAGGUAGCCGUAGGGGAACCUGCGGCUGGAUCACCUCCUU